rnacentral:misc_RNA from 1 species
GACGGAAGGUGCAAGCGUUACUCGGAAUUACUGGGCGUAAAGCGUCCGCAGGUGUUCUCCCCAGUCUGGUGUAAAAGCACGGAGCUCAACUCCGUGUACGUGCCGGAAACUAGGAGAAUAGAGUCAUGUAGAGGUAUCUGGAAUUCCAUGUGUAGGGGUAAAAUCCGUUGAUCCAUGGAGGAACGCCAAAAGCGACGGCAGGAUACUGGACAUGUACUGACACUCAGGGACGAAAGCGUGGGGGGCAAACGGG